rnacentral:rRNA from 1 species
UGGGGAAUUUUGGACAAUGGGCGAAAGCCUGAUCCAGCAAUGCCGCGUGUGUGAAGAAGGCCUUCGGGUUGUAAAGCACUUUUGUCCGGAAAGAAAUCCUUGGCUCUAAUACAGUCGGGGGAUGACGGUACCGGAAGAAUAAGCACCGGCUAACUACGUGCCAGCAGCCGCGGUAAUACGUAGGGUGCAAGCGUUAAUCGGAAUUACUGGGCGUAAAGCGUGCGCAGGCGGUUUGCUAAGACCGAUGUGAAAUCCCCGGGCUCAACCUGGGAACUGCAUUGGUGACUGGCAGGCUAGAGUAUGGCAGAGGGGGGUUAGAAUUCCACGUGUAGCAGUGAAAUGCGUAGAGAUGUGGAGGAAUACCGAUGGCGAAGGCAGCCCCCUGGGCCAAUACUGACGCUCAUGCACGAAAGCGUGGGGAGCAAACAGGAUUAGAUACCCUGGUAGUCCACGCCCUAAACGAUGUCAACUAGUUGUUGGGGACUUCAUUUCCUUAGUAACGUAGCUAACGCGUGAAGUUGACCGCCUGGGGAGUACGGUCGCAAGAUUAAAACUCAAAUGAAUUGACGGGGUC